rnacentral:rRNA from 1 species
CCUACGGGGGGCAGCAGUGGGGAAUAUUGCACAAUGGGGGAAACCCUGAUGCAGCGACGCCGCGUGAGUGAAGAAGGACUUCGGGAUGUAAAGCUCUAUCAGCAGGGAAGAAAAUGACGGUACCUGAUUAAGAAGCCACGGCUAACUACGUGCCAGCAGCCGCGGUAAUACGUAGGGGGCGAGCGUUAUCCGGAUUUACUGGGCGUAAAGGGAGCGUAGACGGCAGCACAAGUCCGUGGUGAAAUGCCGGGGCUGAACCCCAGAACUGCAUUGGAAACUGUAAAGCUAGAGUGCAGGAGAGGUGAGUGGAAUUCCUAGUGUAGCGGUGAAAUGCGUAGAGAUUAGGAGGAACACCAGUGGCGAAGGCGGUUCUCUGGACUGUAACUGACGUUGAGGCUCGAAAGCGUGGGGAGCAAACAGGAUUAGAUACCCCGGUAGUC